AGUAAUUAAGUUUCUCAAACAUUAAGUUGCAAACUUAAAAUUCUAUUUAAGAAAUCAUU
rnacentral:tRNA from 1 species